rnacentral:misc_RNA from 1 species
GAUGAAGAACGCAGCGAAAUGCGAUAAGUAAUGUGAAUUGCAGAAUUCAGUGAAUCAUCGAAUCUUUGAACGCACAUUGCGCCCGCCAGUAUUCUGGCGGGCAUGCCUGUUCGAGCGUCAUUUCAACCAUCAAGCCCCCGGCUUGUGUUGGGGACCUGCGGCUGCCGCAGGCCCUGAAAAGCAGUGGCGGGCUCGCUGUCACACCGAGCGUAGUAGCAUACAUCUCGCUCUGGGCGUGCUGCGGGUUCCGGCCGUUAAACCACCUUCAUAACCCAAGGUUGACCUCGGAUCAGGUAGGAAGACCCGCUGAACUUAAGCAUAUCAAUAAGCGGAGGA